GAGUCGAGGGUACCCGAAGUCGCUAGUCUAACCCGUAAGGGAGGACGGUGCCGAAGGUACGUUUGGUAAGGAGGGUGAAGUCGUAACAAGGUAGCCGUACCGGAAGGUGCGGCUGGAUCACCUCCUUUCUAUGAGAAAGGGUAUUUGAAGGUUGUUUUUAACCUUCUACUUAUACAAUACUUGUAUAACAAGUCUUGAAGUACACAAGACAAUUUGAUACUUCCUUUUCGUUCUUUCCUGAAACUCUUUUUUAUAGGGCCUGUAGCUCAGUCGGUUAGAGCACU
rnacentral:misc_RNA from 1 species